CGCCGUUACCCGAGGGGAAACUCGCUCCCGUAGUUGCCGUCUGCGGGAUCGGUGCGUGUCGACGCUUGGCCUGGCGCGGAUCAGUGCGUGCCGAGUUGCCGAAGACUGGGAGUGUUCGGUCCGGUCCUCGCAGUACGGGAUGUGACAGGCUGUGGGAGCUGCCGGUCAGUCUGACAACUACAAAUACCUAAGGUUACACACUUUGCUUUCAUAAUGGAGUCGUCUGGAGGUGAAUUAACUCUUCCUCUGAAGUCUGUUGCAAUCCUAAGAUACAUAUGUAUGAAUCUUUGCAGUCUUCCUUGAGGAAAGUGGUGUCUGUCCUACAGCGUGAGAAAAAAGGACCGCUUUGUGGAAUGCUUCCAUUUGGCGGCAGCACCCUGCACUCGUUUCCUCCGUGGCGGCGAGCAGAACAGGAAGCUUUCUGUACCCUGCACAGCCUAGGACCUGGGAGAAGCUCUGCAGCCUGCUCAGCUGUGCUUCACACAUCUCCCAAGUGCUAAGUGAGAAGAACAAGAGGAAUACUUCAAGCACUCCUGUGCCUUCAGGAUAUGGUUGACAGCACUGCACAAGUGUGACUGAGAUCCUGAUAAGCAAGUGAAAUGACAUGGAUGCAUAAGUUUACCAAAAACAGAACUAAGAGAAUGUUGCUGGGGUGACAGAUGGAACAAAACUUUGGUGAACAUGGAUUGAGAAUGCUUUGGCACCUAUUGCAGGUUUGAUGAUCACUUUUGCGACACUUCUGUUUCAACGGGACCCCGACAACAGUGAUGCGGAGGAAAAGUCCAGUUCAGAUACCUGCUACUCAGAAGGUCCUUCAUCACGGAACUAGUUUUCCCUACUUCUCCCUUCUCUUUUUUUUAAGAGAAUAGAUGCUUUCAUUCCUGUCACAGUAAGGUGGAGUAUU